CAGCAGCCGCGGUAAUACGAAGGGGGCUAGCGUUGUUCGGAUUUACUGGGCGUAAAGCGCACGUAGGCGGAUCGAUCAGUCAGGGGUGAAAUCCCAGAGCUCAACUCUGGAACUGCCUUUGAUACUGUCGAUCUGGAGUAUGGAAGAGGUGAGUGGAAUUCCGAGUGUAGAGGUGAAAUUCGUAGAUAUUCGGAGGAACACCAGUGGCGAAGGCGGCUCACUGGUCCAUUACUGACGCUGAGGUGCGAAAGCGUGGGGAGCAAACAGGAUUAGAUACCCCGGUAGUCCCUGUCUCUUAUAC
rnacentral:rRNA from 1 species